AAUAAAUACAUUAAUGAGUUUCGAUGUCUAACUUUAAUCUUCCGUCAUAUUUGAAUUUUUUUAUGAUUAGUAUUUUUGUUGUUAUUAGAUUAUAAAAUAUGAAUAAUACUUUAUGUAUGGCUUAUGUUUUUUAGUUUUCUCAAAAAAAAAAUUUAAAUAAGACGAACGAUUAAAGUUGGACACGGAAACUCAUGGUUGUGUUUAUU
rfam:Oryza meridionalis cultivar OR44 (W2112) chromosome 2, whole genome shotgun sequence.